AGGAAUAUAGUUAAUUAUAACAUUUAAAUUGCAAUUAAAAAUUAUCAUAAGAUUAUUCUUA
rnacentral:tRNA from 1 species